CCACUUUAGACGACCUUUCAUAUAUGUAUAAAAAGACAUCCAAAUUGUCGAUUCCGACAUACCACAUUUUUGGUGCAAUUUUAUUCUCUGUUUUCACUUGAAUCCUCAAAAAACAACUAACAAAUUAAAAAUGGGCGCUGAAAAAGUAUCCAUGAACAUCGUUGUCGUCGGACAAGUCCAAUCUGCCAAGGUUGUCAAGACCAUCGCUAAGGCCAGCCCAGCCACCAGCCAAUUGAUGAGCUGUUAAUUCACAAAGUGCCAUUCCCCAUGAAUUCCAAACUCAAAAAUGCCAUAGUCCAAACAAUCCAUAUUAAUAAUUAUAUGUAAUUUUUUACAUAAUUCAUAAAAUAAAUCAGUAUUUUCCGUGUUUUAA